ACUUGGCCAAAUAAACUUACCUUAACAUUAAUCCAUUGGAAACCCCUUUGAGCCUUAAGACUAUUUUUCUUGUUUCCAGUAAUUGCCAAAUAAAAAAAUGAAGGAAAAUCAUAUGUUCUUUACCUGAGGAAAGAAGAAGGAGUAAUGGAUUGUGUUAUAAGUAAGUGAUGAAUAAGUGCGUGGGUGAGUGUCUCACCACAAAAUAUAUAAAAAAAAAGGGGGAAGGAAAAAGGAAGAUGAAAAGCUGAAGAUUUGAAAAAAAAAAGUGAUGAAAAAAAAAGAAAAAAAAGAAUCUUCCUAAAAAGAGCAAGAAAUAAGGUUGUUUUUGAAAUAAAGUGUCAUUACUCUUUCUAUAUCAACUUCAAAAACCCAGAAAUUCCAAAGAAAAUUUCCUACCUUUGCCUUGGCCCCAAUAUAACCUUUAAAAAGCCCUCAUGAUC
rnacentral:lncRNA from 1 species